rnacentral:rRNA from 1 species
UACGUAGGGGGCAAGCGUUGUCCGGAAUCAUUGGGCGUAAAGAGCGUGUAGGCGGCCCGAUAAGUCCGCUGUGAAAGUCCAGGGCUCAACCCUGGAAUGCCAGUGGAAACUGGCGGGCUGGAGUCCGGAAGAGGCGAGUGGAAUUCCUGGUGUAGCGGUGAAAUGCGCAGAUAUCAGGAGGAACACCAAUGGCGAAGGCAGCUCGGUGGGACGGUAAUGACGCUGAGACGCGAAAGCGUGGGGAGCAAACAGG